rnacentral:rRNA from 1 species
GGGAAUAUUGGACAAUGGGCGAAAGCCUGAUCCAGCCAUGCCGCGUGUGUGAAGAAGGUCUUCGGAUUGUAAAGCACUUUAAGUUGGGAGGAAGGGUUGUAGAUUAAUACUCUGCAAUUUUGACGUUACCGACAGAAUAAGCACCGGCUAACUCUGUG